rnacentral:rRNA from 1 species
GGGGGAUUAGUGGCGAACGGGUGAGUAACACGUGAGUAACCUGCCCUUGACUCUGGGAUAAGCCUGGGAAACUGGGUCUAAUACCGGAUAUGACCAUCUGACGCAUGUCAUGGUGGUGGAAAGCUUUUGUGGUUUUGGAUGGACUCGCGGCCUAUCAGCUUGUUGGUGGGGUAAUGGCCUACCAAGGCGACGACGGGUAGCCGGCCUGAGAGGGUGACCGGCCACACUGGGACUGAGACACGGCCCAGACUCCUACGGGAGGCAGCAGUGGGGAAUAUUGCACAAUGGGCGGAAGCCUGAUGCAGCGACGCCGCGUGAGGGAUGACGGCCUUCGGGUUGUAAACCUCUUUCAGUAGGGAAGAAGCGAAAGUGACGGUACCUGCAGAAGAAGCGCCGGCUAACUACGUGCCAGCAGCCGCGGUAAUACGUAGGGCGCAAGCGUUAUCCGGAAUUAUUGGGCGUAAAGAGCUCGUAGGCGGUUUGUCGCGUCUGCUGUGAAAGACCGGGGCUCAACUCCGGUUCUGCAGUGGGUACGGGCAGACUAGAGUGCAGUAGGGGAGACUGGAAUUCCUGGUGUAGCGGUGAAAUGCGCAGAUAUCAGGAGGAACACCGAUGGCGAAGGCAGGUCUCUGGGCUGUAACUGACGCUGAGGAGCGAAAGCAUGGGGAGCGAACAGGAUUAGAUACCCUGGUAGUCCAUGCCGUAAACGUUGGGCACUAGGUGUGGGGGACAUUCCACGUUUUCCGCGCCGUAGCUAACGCAUUAAGUGCCCCGCCUGGGGAGUACGGCCGCAAGGCUAAAACUCAAAGGAAUUGACGGGGGCCCGCACAAGCGGCGGAGCAUGCGGAUUAAUUCGAUGCAACGCGAAGAACCUUACCAAGGCUUGACAUGAACCGGAAAGACCUGGAAACAGGUGCCCCGCUUGCGGUCGGUUUACAGGUGGUGCAUGGUUGUCGUCAGCUCGUGUCGUGAGAUGUUGGGUUAAGUCCCGCAACGAGCGCAACCCUCGUUCUAUGUUGCCAGCGCGUUAUGGCGGGGACUCAUAGGAGACUGCCGGGGUCAACUCGGAGGAAGGUGGGGACGACGUCAAAUCAUCAUGCCCCUUAUGUCUUGGGCUUCACGCAUGCUACAAUGGCCGGUACAAAGGGUUGCGAUACUGUGAGGUGGAGCUAAUCCCAAAAAGCCGGUCUCAGUUCGGAUUGGGGUCUGCAACUCGACCCCAUGAAGUCGGAGUCGCUAGUAAUCGCAGAUCAGCAACGCUGCGGUGAAUACGUUCCCGGGCCUUGUACACACCGCCCGUCAAGUCACGAAAGUUGGUAAC